CAGGUAAACUGGGUGUUUCACCUGGGACUUUCACAUCGAAACUGGCCCUUCCCCGUGACCUUCAGCACAAAAAAAGAAAGGCUAUAGAUGUUGCUCGUGCAGCAAAACAGCGACGCAUAAGACUAAAAACUGGAACGGCAUUCAAAGGACAGUGCAAGAAGUACGAGCGGGACCAACAUACAGUUCAAACAUAGAGGACCAAGAUGUUGAAGUGACAACUUUACCCCCACCUGUACCCAAGCCUGGUCCAGCAGGGCUAGACACUACUGGGAAGGAAUUUGUUUUCUUUGAUUUGGAAACAAGAGGGUUAGAGCGUACUUCUCACAUAAUUCAGAUAGCUGCAGUGCAUUCAACUGGUCAGUUUUCAACAUAUGUGAUGCCUGAGAAGAAGAUGUCCUUGAAAGCGUCAGAAAUAACUGGAGUGACAGUUGUUGGCGACUCUAUGCUUGUUAAGGGACAUAAAGUAACAGCUGUCCCCAUCAAAUCUGCAUUGACAAGUUUUAUAACAUUCUUACAGAAAUUUUCACCAGAAAUUUUAGUUGGGCAUAACAUAGAGUGUAUUUGAUUGUAAAGUGUUGCUCCAUGCUGUCCAUACUUGUGGAAAAAUGUUUGAGUUUCAGCAAAAUAUUUGUGGCUUUUUAGAUACUUAAAAAUGUUAAAGGAAAUAUUACCAAAUAUAAAAUCAUAUAAGUUAUAAGUCAAGGUGUUACAAGGAAAGUUGCAGGAAGUGGAUUGCGACUUAAACAUUUGAGUAUUGAAUCAAAAAGAAACGGACUGAGUGGUUUGAGGAGCCCCCUGUCAAAGGUUACAAACGGACAAAUCAGAGUAACAAAAUCAGAGAAAAUAAUAUGUGCAAUAGCGAGUUAUUUGUUGCCUGACAUCUAACCAAUUGAAAUUUGCAUCUUGUAUAUAGAUUAGCUAUGAAAUUGUUUUUCCUUCUCGAUGUUGUGAUUCUUAUGUCAGUUGUAUUUCUCAUGUUUCACCUAAGUUGUAAGAUAUUUUUGGCAGUGCAUUAAACCACAGAUGGUGUGUGAAACAUUAUUGCCCCGCUUAUUGUAUUCAAUGUUGUUUUUAGCUCCACUGGCCUAAGGCCAGCAGGGCUUAUGUCAUGAUCCUGUGUCCGUCGUGCGUGCGUUAACUUUUCCUUUAAACAUCUUCUUCUAUGUUAUAAAUAUUAAGUUAUAUAUAUAGUCUUAAAUAAUGACGACCGACUGUUGGUGACUCAAGUUAUAUUUCUUUUUUUGUAUUUUGAUUAUUUAGAAUGCAAAAAAUAUAAUGCUAUAUAUCAUAUAUUUGACUGACUCUGUUACAUAUGUACUCAUGUUUGUCAUAUAUUCAGUGCAAAUGUCUAGUUCAUGCACAAUGUUGAUAUGUAAAUUUUACAUUGAUUAUAGCUUGAAAGCAAUGUAUUUGUAUUGUAUUAAGCUUAUGGUGUAAAAUGUAAUGUGUGUACAUGGCUCUUAGUCGAAUUUGAUAACAGCUCAGUUAUGUACACAAGCUAUGGUUUGCAUUAAUCAUACCGUUGAUAAAUGAAGUAUUGUAUUCUUCCAUAGUUUUAUAUUGUUAUUACAAGGCAGGGUUGGCACCAAUCGACCGCCCUUGGUUUUAACCGGCGGUUUUUACCGGUUAAAACCGCCCUGGUCAAUACUCCCGAAGUGGUCAUUAUUGGUCAAUACUGGUCGAUUGAACUUUGCCCCCAAUUUUGAUUAAUAUUCCAUGGCUUAUUAAACAAUAUUGAUAAUAUCAAUUAAAAAGACAUGUUGCCAAUAAUAUCUUAAGCUAUUAAUACCCACUAUUUUAUACCUGUUAAUGCAAUUUGUAGGCCAAUCUCUCAAAAAAAUUCAAAUUAGUCAAAGUUGGUCAAUUGGAUUUUUCUGGUCGAUUGAACUUUUUUCAAUUCUAAUGAAUAAUGAAUGCUCAGAUAAUUCUGUGCUUGAUUCAACAAGAACCUGUCACUUACUGGUUAUGAGUUAUUCCUCAUGCCCCACUGUCCCCACAAUCUUCUUACAGUCUUCUCACCUCUACAGGUUGGGGCAUCCAAAACUGAUAAUAGGGCCUUAAAUGGCACCUUUUUGACACAGUCCUUACUUGUCAUGUAUUCUUGCAUAGAUUUCUUUAAAUACUUUUUAAACAAAAUAGUCAAAAUAGUCAAAAAAUCUUUUAUUUUCCAUUGAUAUAAAAAUAAAAAACAUAAUAAGAAAUAAUUAUUAAGAGAAAAAAUAAUUGAAAAGAAGAGUCUAGAGUAGACCCACAAUUGGAAAACAUGUUUUAUUGUCAAAAUCAAGAACUUUGAUUGCUUAUUCAUUUGAAUACCAAUUGAAAUUUAAAAUAUGAAAGGAAAGAAACCCUCUUAAUACAGAAAGGAGACAAGUUAGAAGUAACUAUUUAAUUAAUAGCAAGUAAUCUCCUUUUGUGUGAGUGAUAUGAAAUAGCUUAACCCUUUGCAUGCUGGGAAAUAUGUCGUCUGCUAAAAUGUCGUCUGCAGAAUUUCUAAAAUUAGCAUUUUCUUCUAUUUUUUAGAAAGAAUACUAUCAUAAUAGCAAACAGUUUGGAUCCUGAUGAGA